rnacentral:rRNA from 1 species
CUGCUCAAUGUUUAAUAAAUAGCCGCAAUUCGUGCUAAGGUAGCAUAAUCAUUUGUCUUUUAAAUGAAGACUAGAACAAAAGACUUAACAUUUUAAUUUUUAUUUAUUUUAAUUUAAAUUAAAAUUUUCUUAAAUGUAAUAAGACAUUUAUAUAUAAAAUAGACGAAAAGACCCUAUUAAACUUAACUUUAGUUAAACUGGGGAAGUAAAUUAAUUAUUAUUUUAAUUUUUUUUAAUUAUAAAAUUAUCUAUUAUUAAUAAUAAAUAAUGUUACUAUAGGGAUAACAGCAUAAUUAUUAUUAAAAGUUCUCAUUUAAAUAAUAGAUUAUGACCUCGAUGUUGAAUUAAUUUUCUAAUAAAAGCAAUAUUUUAAAAAGAAAGUCUGUUCGACUUUUAAAAAAUUACGUGAUCUGAGUUCA